rnacentral:lncRNA from 1 species
AAGACUCUACUAAGUCUGCUCAUGACUCGUGAAACCUAUGUAACCUAGGCUUUAAUACCAACUUGUCACGAACCUAAACCCGGACCCAGUCGUGAUGACGCCUCUCGUGAAGACAAGGCCAACCGACACUUUCCCAUUUCAGUUUUAAGCAAUUAAACAACAAGAAUUAAGUCCAAAAUAUAAUAAAUAAUCCAAAAGUAAGAAGUUAACAAUAUAGUUUGCGGAAAAAUAACCCAACAUAGCCCGAUACCGGGGUGUCACCAGUCAUGAGCAUCUAUCAUUAUACUACAAGUCUGAAAUAUCUACAAAUCUUUUACAGAAUAACUGAAUGAGAAGGAAAUUAGAUAAAUGGGGAGAAACACGGGACUGCGGACGCCAAACAGCUACCUCGUGAACUCCGAAGUCUGCCGGGAGCUCUAAACUCUCACUAGCAGGAUCAACAACGCCUGAAUCUGCACACAAGGUGCAGGGAGUAAAGUGAGUACUCCUACUCAGUGAGUAAUAACCAUAAAUAAAGACUGAGAAAUAUGAAAUCACGUAAGGCACAUUAUAGGCUAUAAUGAAGCAGUAAAAGCCAGUAAAAACGUGAAUCAGUAAGGAUAUGUAAAGUCAUUUUAGUUCAACUUAAACUUCAUGAAAUGACUUUUCAACAAUUAAGCAGGUAAAUGACAGGCAAAUAAGAAUGAUAAACACAUAAAGGUUCGCCCCUCAGGCACAAUAUCAACAAAUCUGCCCUUCGGGCAAUCUUUCAAAACAAUACUAGCCCCUCGGGCUAUAUCUCACGUCACAAUGGGUACCCGCGCUCACUAGGGGUGUGCAGACUCCUGGAGGGGCCUCUUACGUCCCAAGCGUAAUAUCAAGCCAUCUCGUGGAAUAAUCACAUAAGUUCUCGGCCUCAUAUCAAUAAGUCACCCCGUGGCGUACAAAUCUCAAGCCCUCGGCCUCAUAAUCAUAAUCAUAAUCAGGUGUUUCCUCACAACAUAGGCCCUCAGCCUUACUCAGUCAAAAUUCUCACAAGCCACUCGGGCAACAGUAAAACAUGAUGCUCAGCCCAAAAUAUCAUUUAAAAUAUCAGUUUAAGUGUUAAAGCAGAGUAAACGUGACAGAGUUAUGAAAACAGUAGAAUAUAGCAUGACUGAGUUCAAGUAUAAAGUCAAAACAAAGAGGAAAUAUCAAUAAAAAUCCCCUAAGGGUUCAAAUAGUUGGCACAAGGCCCAAAUAUAGCAUUUAGCCUAAAACAUGAUGAUAACAAAUAGUUUUCAGUCAAAUACGCAGUAAAAUAGUCAUUCAGGACAGACUAAAUCAUCUGCAACACAAACCAGCAAAAACUGCCAAGUCCAAAGUCCAAAAUUGAUCCGUUUAACCAUUCGAAACUCACCUGAGGCCCUCGGGACCUCAACCAAACAUGCCAACAUAUCCCACAACCUCAUUCAAACUUGUUCCAACCUUUGGAAUUCCCAAAACAACAUCAAAACACCAAAAUCACAUCGGAUUCAAGCCUAAGAAUUUGAAGAACUUCCAAAUUCCGCUUUCGAUCAAAAAGUCUACCAAACCUCAUCCGAAUGACUUGAAAUUUUGUACAUACUUCCCAAGUGACACAACGAAACUAUUAUAACUUCCAUAAUUCCAUUCCGACCACUAUAUCAAAAUCUCACCUAUCAACCAGAAAACGCCAAAAUCUCAAUUUCGCUAAUUCAAGCCUAAACCUCCCACGGUCUUCCAAAAUGCAUUCUAAUCACGCUCCUAAGUCCCAAAUCACCUAACAGAGCUAACCAAAUCAUAAAAAUUCUGAUCCGAGAUCAUAUACUAACAAGUCAAAUCUUAGUCAAACUUUUCAAAUUUCAAGCUUCAAACUGAGAACCGUUCUUCCAAAUUCAUUCCCAUUACCCUGAAAACCAAAACCAACGAUUUACAUAAGUCAUAAUCCAUCACACGGGGCAAGUCAUGCCUGAGAACUGGCGAGUAAAGCGAAAAAGCCCAAAACGACCAGUUGGGUCGUUACAGAAAUAGAAGAUUAAACACUCAAAAUUAUCAAACAUUGUGGAGAAAGAAAUUUUUGGAAAACCCUAGUUUGGAAGAACUUAAAGAAGAAAACUAGAAGGCGUCUCAACAUACAGAGAUUCGAACAAACAGAAUUCAUAGAAAUAAAAAACCUAAAGUAUUGUAGUGUUUAAAAAUCGGUCAGUAGUAGAGGAAUAAGAGGAACUUAAAAAAAUCACAGAAACUUGAACACAUUGAAAGUAUGCAGAGAUUCAAACAGUAGAUAGCAAAUAACCUAAAAUAUAGUGCUAAAAUCGGUUAACAGUAAAGAAAUAAGAGAUCUUUAAAGAAAAGUCAUUGACAAACUCAGAAUCAUUCUAGAUCUACAAAGAUCGGGACAUAUUCAUGUACAAAGAUUAGGGUUUUGAGGGGCAAGGGGAGGGGUAAAGAGAAUCUGGUUUUGAACCAGAGAUUUGAACCGUGGAACUUCAAUAAAAAUUACUCACAAACCAUGAACGAACUCUUGAAGAGCCUUGAACGAGAUCUGGACUAGAUUUCUUUGAGGUUCUUCCAUAAAAACCACAUAAUCGAACAACCAGGGAGAUAGGAGACAAGUAGAGGCUUCGUACAGCCAUAGGACGCCAUAGAUCGGACAGGGAUUCAAAGGAUUUGGACUGAUUUUGGGUGACGACGAUUAGGGUUAGGGGUUGGUAUCGGAGAGAACCAGAGAGGAGGGGAUUCAAGGGUGGCUGUAGGGAGGAAAUGAUUAGGGUUUAGGGGGUCGUUUGAUUAAAAAAGGUAAGUAUUGAUGUGGACCGUUGAUCUAAAGGAUCAACGACCACGAUUUGAUGGGGGUCUUGGGUCGGGUAGGUGCAGAUUGGGCUUGGGUGAAUUAGGCUGGUAUUAAAGGGGUAUUGGGCUAGUAUUAAAGGGGUAAUGGGCUGGUUAAUUUCAAAACACAAAUGAAAAUAGAAGAGGCAAUUUAUUAAAUACCCCAAACAAUUCAUUAAAAAAUAAUUUGUAAAAUAAUACUAAUUAUAAAAAAUAAAUUUCAUGCGUAGAAAAAUUUAAAAAUAGUUUUUAGUGUUCAAAAGUGCAAGUGACUAAUUUUCUGGUAAAAAUAACACGAAAAAUGUGUGCAUGGGCUGUAAUUGCAAGGUUAUUGCAAUUAUAGCCAAAAGGUGCUAAUUUGGCUAUUUAUGAAAUAAUUUGGACUCAAUAGGACCUAUAAAAGUAAUAUUAAAUCAAGAUGUGUUCUAAAUUCGUUUGUGAUGUAAUUUUGCAAUUAUUCGUAUGAAGAAAAUAUUAAAAUAAAUUAUUUUAAGGGUAUAAAAAUUAUGAGAAAAUACCCAUUGAUGCUAAUACAUGGUUUUAAAUGUAUAUAAGUAUUUCAAAAAUAUUAUAGGAAAAAAUUGGGUAUCAACAACUACCCCUCUUUACCCGGGAAUGAUGAAAGAGUUUUUGGGUAAAGAAAUGAUGGCCAAUUUCUAUCGGAUGGGAUGUUUUGAAAGAUAGAGGUCGGACUCUGGUCUUUGAGCUGUCUACAUAUCCCUGGUUUUACAGAAAUCAGGCCAUGUGUAGUUCCCGAUUCAUUGGCAGAAUAUAUCGAUGAAGUCAUUAAGAGAAUGGACACGAGAUUUCGGAAUGGAUGCAAGAGUGGAUAUGGUGAAUGGUCCAGGUUUGAGACAGUUGAAGGAACUGGAGCGAGGCCGCUCCUGCUAGGAUAGCGGUUGCUUGCUUAUCACCUGCAGAUGCUACGAACCUGUAUUAGUGUGAAAAUUUAAACAUGAUGCAGAAUUCGUUUGGACCAUGAAAGCUAUCUUCGGACGGUUUAAGGAUGACGUUCUCAGAGCAUGAUGCAUUGGGCUAUGAAUUGUUUAGUGCGGGAUUCCUAGGCCAUUAAAUGAUGUUCUCGGGUCAUGAAGAUGGUUCCUCCAAACCAUGAUGCCUUUGAAUAAUGAUAUGCAAAUUUGAGAGGUCCUCAGGCCAUGGCAUGGUGUCUUCUAGCUAUGAGGAUGAUGCCUUUUAGACUAUGAUGCCUUUGGAUAGGUUGCGAUAUUUUAGCCCAUGAUAUGAAAUAAUAUGAUGUUACCAAGACAAGGCUUAGUCUUGUCAAAUGAAGAGCAUAACUUAGCCCAAUCGAAAAACAAAUAGAUAGUACACGAAUAGGUCGAUAUUUAUGCAAGGAGGGACAAUGCAUAGUCCCCAUGUAAACGUGGAGGCAAGUAUUAGCCUCAUAUGGAUGUGGAGGCAAGGAUUAGCCUCAUGCAGAUAUGGAGGCAAGGAUUAGCCUUAUGCACGUAUGGAGGCAGGUAUUAGCCUCAUGCAAAUAUAGAGGCAAGGAUUAGCCUCAUGCAGGUCAUGGAGGCAGCGAUUAGCCUCAUGCACGUAUGGAGGCAGAGAUUAGUCUCAUGGAAAUAUGGGAGGCANNNNNNNNNNNNNNNNNNNNNNNNNGAGGCAGGGAUUAGCCUCAUGAGGUAUGGAGGCAGGGAUUAGCCUAAUGCAAAUAUGGAGGCAAAGAUUAGCCUCACACAAAUAUGGAGGCAAGGAUUAGCCUCACGCAAAUAUGAAGGUAAGGAUUAGGCUCACGCAAAUAUGGAGGCAAGGAUUCGCCUCAUGCAAAUAUGAAGGCAAGGAUUAGCCUCACGCAAAUAUGAAGGCAAGGAUUAGCCUCACGCAAAUAUGAAGACAAGGAUUAGCCUCAUGCAAAUAUGGAGGCAAGGAUUAGCCUGGUGCAAAUAUGGAGGCAAGGAUUAGACUCAUGCAAGUAUGGAGGCAGGGAUUUGCCUCAUGCAGGUAUGGAGGUAGGGAUUAGCCUCAUGCAGGUAUGGAGGCAGGGAUUAGCCUCAUGUAAGUAUGGAGGCAAUGAUUAGCCUCAUGUAAAUAUGGAGGCAAGGAUUAACCUCAUGCAAGUAUGAAGACAUAGAUUAGCCUCAUGCAGAUAUGGAGGCAAGGAUUAGCCUCAUGCAAGUAUGCGGGAUAAGGCUUAGUCCCAUGCAAAGAGUGAGUAGCAAAUAGGAGUAGUAUAUUUCUUGGCUGGAGAUAUAUUCGGUGUCUGAUGGCUGGAUUGAUAGUGAAUUUGCUUUGUGUAUACAUGUUUGUGAAUGCUAUCGCUAUGUCAAAUGUGCCUGAGUUCAAAGAAAAAUUCUAAGUUUUGUAAGGGGAGGUUGGUUCGUGCUUCUGUCUGCUGGCCUUGCUUAGUUCAAUUCUGGAGACCUUAUUUGAGUUUACCUAGGUAACACCUGACUGUUAUGAAAAUAGAGUUUUCAAAAAUAUGCAAUUAUUGAUAAAAUAGAGUUGUUUUAGAAACGUACUGAAAUAUCCAGUAAUUUUAGAUGAUCUAGUGACUGUAACGCAUUUUAGAGACACUGUAGCUUUCUCUUGUUAGAAUUUUGAGGCUCCUCCUCAAAAAUCUGCCCCAGUUUGGUAGAUGAUCCUUCGGCUAUUUGCGAACUUUGUUGAACCUUCCUCGGAAUUUUGAGAAUCCUUCUCAAAAUUCUGCCCCAGUUUCUUAACCGAUUUCUAACCAUCUGGUAUAGUUGGCAUUGGCUGGACUUGCUCUAAUUACUUAUUCUAGCACGGUCGCUAGUUGACUCUUAUUUACGGUCUGCGCCUCUUUCUAAUUACUUAUUGUCUAAUUACUUCUGGGCCGUCCAGGUCAAAGCACAGCAAGUCACGCAUUCCUGUACUCAUUUCGUUUGGCGCAUCAAAAAUCAUGUCACGCGAACGUGUCCACAAUUAAUAACGCUUUAUUAAUAUUAAGAAAAUUUAAUCAUAGUUGCGCGAAUGCAUACCCCGAUUUUGUUUUUAAGAUCGUAAUUAUGUCACGCGAACGUGUCCACAAUCACAAUGAUAUAUUAGCAUCCGUACACAAAUAGUACAAAAGAACUUUCUUUUUACUAUCAGUAUAUUUUCACUUAUCUAUAUUAUUUCAGUAUCUUACAAGUUAUCAAUUGCAUUUGCUAUAAAAAGAUACUUGGAACUUAUGUCGCUUAAAUGGUAUGCUAAUAUAAAAUUUCGUAAUGCAGUUAAAGUAUAUCAGUAAAGUUUUUGUUUUGCAAUUUUGCAUGGCAUAAUUUAAUAAGUCGAAGAAGCAACAAGACUUACAGAUGCCAUAGCAACUGAAAAGCUUUUCAAGAUUCAUGACAAAUUAAGAAUAACCCUUUUGAGUUCCCAAAUCUUUUUCCAUCAUACCAAUUAGUGGAUUCAACAACCAUAAAAAUAUAGCACAAAUAGGUACAAUACCAAAGUAAUAUAAGUAGUGGGCAAAUUCCAAAAAUCGCACAAAGGAACACAGAUUGCACCUAACAAUAAUAACAAAUUAAUCAAUGUUUAAACUAAACAAUGCACUCGUUUCGGCCUCUCACGAAAUUGAACAAAGAAAAGAAAAGGAAUCUGACCAGAGUCCACCUCGCCGGAAACCUCAACGGAAAUCUCGAACCUCAAGCGACUCGAAUGAUGACCUUUGUUUACUGAAGAUUGCCGGUUCAGAGUUUCUUUGCCGGUAAAAAUGGAGCUCCGAGUGACGUAAAUGGUAGCUGAAGGUGAGAGAUUUUAUGGUGUUUUUUGGAGAGGAGGCUGUCUGGUUCGCCGGCGAUGGCAACGGCGCUGAAAGAGGAGAGGAUGAGGCUCUUCGCUAGAGAAGAAGAUGGAACGGUGAGACUCUAUGUUCUCUUAUGGCUGCUGUGAUUAUUUUCUUAAAGAAGAAGAAUGAAGCCUUCUCUUUUUCCCCUCCAAACUCCCCGUUCUCUAUCCUCCUUUUCUCUGUAUUUGCGUGUGUUUUUGUUUGUGUCCCAGAGAACCAGGAGAUCAAGAGAGACGAUGGGUGUUUCUCCUUUUUUUUGUUUUGAUUUUUGGUGAGGUCCGGU